rnacentral:rRNA from 1 species
GAUGAACGCUGGCGGCGUGCCUAAUACAUGCAAGUCGAGCGGACAGACGAUGAGCUUGCUCCUCUGCCGUUAGCGGCGGACGGGUGAGUGACACGUGGAUAACCUACCUAUAUUACUGGGGUAACUUCGGGAAGCCGGAGCUAAUACCACAUCAUAUGUUGUACCGCAUAGUUCAAUAGUGAAUGACGGUUUUGCUGUCUCUUAUAGCUGGAUCCGCGCCGCAUUAGCUAGUUGGUAAGGUAACGGCCUACCAAGGCAACGAUGCGUAGCCGACCUGAGAGGGUGAUCGGCCACACUGGAACUGAGACACGGUCCAGACUCCUACGGGAGGCAGCAGUAGGGAAUAUUCCGCAAUGGGCGAAAGCUUGACGGAGCAACGCCGCGUGAGUGAUGAAGGUCUUCGGAUCGUAAAGCCCUGUUAUUAGGGAAGAAAAGCAGUGGAAGUAAACCCGGCUGUUUUGACGGUACCCAAACAGAAAGCCACGGCUAACUACGUG